rnacentral:rRNA from 1 species
AGAGUUUGAUCAUGGCUCAGGACGAACGCUGGCGGCGUGCCUAAUGCAUGCAAGUCGAGCGGGCUACGAUCUUCGGAUUGUAGCUUAGCGGCGAACGGGUGAGUAACACGUAGGUAAUCUACCCUUCAGAGGAGGACAACCUCAGGAAACGGAGGCUAAACCUUCAUACGUUCACUGGUAGGGAUACUGGUGAAGAAAGAGUUACCUUAGUGGUAGCUGCUGAAGGAUGAGCCUGCGGCCCAUCAGGUAGUUGGUGAGGUAACGGCUCACCAAGCCGAAGACGGGUAACCGGUCUGAGAGGAUGUCCGGUCACACUGGGACUGAGACACGGCCCAGACUCCUACGGGAGGCAGCAGCAGGGAAUCUUGGGCAAUGGGCGAAAGCCUGACCCAGCGACGCCGCGUGGAGGAAGAAGUCCUUCGGGGCGUAAACUCCUGGACUGGGGGACGAGGAAGGACGGUACCCCAGUAGAAAGGGACGGCUAACUACGUGCCAGCAGCCGCGGUAAAACGUAGGUCCCGAGCGUUGUUCGGAUUCACUGGGUGUAAAGGGCGCGUAGGUGGUUGUCUGUGUCUCAUGUGAAAACUCAGGGCUCAACUCUGAGAUUGCGUGGGAAACUAGGCAGCUAGAGGACGGUAGAGGGGAGUGGAAUUCCCGGUGUAGCGGUAAAAUGCGUAGAUAUCGGGAGGAACACCGGUGGCGAAGGCGGCUCUCUGGGCCGAUCCUGACGCUGAGGCGCGAAAGCUAGGGGAGCGAACCGGAUUAGAUACCCGGGUAGUCCUAGCCGUAAACGAUGGGUGCUAGGUGUUGGGGGGGUAAAGACCCUUCAGUGCCGAAGCCAACGCGAUAAGCAUCCCACCUGGGGAGUACGGCCGCAAGGUUGAAACUUAAAUGAAUUGACGG